rnacentral:rRNA from 1 species
GAUGAACGCUAGCGGCAGGCCUAAUACAUGCAAGACGAACGGUAAGUUGAGUAGCAAUACUUAGCCAAGAGUGUCGUACGGGUGCGUAACACGUAUGCAACCUACCCUAUACAGGAGGAUAGCCUAGGGAAACCUGGAUUAACCCUUCAUAGUAUUAUUGGAUGGCAUCAUUUGAUAAUUAAAACUGAGGUGGUAUAGGAUGGGCAUGCGUCUGAUUAGUUAGUUGGCGGGGUAAUGGCCCACCAAGACGAUGAUCAGUAGGGGUUCUGAGAGGAAGAUCCCCCACACUGGCACUGAGAG